UCAAUGGUGGGCUGGACGAGGGCAUCGCAAGGUGCGCCGGUAUCCAGUAUGGCCGGUAAGGUCAACCUCGUUCAGUCCACCACCC
rnacentral:antisense_RNA from 1 species